GUGAAUCAUCGAAUCUUUGAACGCACCUGGCACUGGAGGCAACUCUGGUACACCUGUUUGAGCGAGGAGAAGGAAGAGGUGGUUGGAAAGUAAAUAUUUUGCUUUCUGACUGAAAGCGAUGGUGGGCGUGGCUGCACGUGAGGACGAGAAAUCGAAAAUGCGGAGAAGCCACACAAACCCACAACACCAUAUGACAUUCUCAAAUCAGGCGAGAGGACCCGCUGGACUUAAGCAUAUCAAUAAGCGGAGGA
rnacentral:misc_RNA from 1 species